CGGACGGGUGAGUAAUGUAUAGGAACUUGCCUAGUGUGGGGGACAACGUGUGGAAACGCACGCUAAUACCGCAUACGCUCUACGGAGGAAAGCGGGGGAUCUUCGGACCUCGUGCUACUAGAUGGGCCUAUAUUGGAUUAGCUAGUUGGUAGGGUAAAGGCCUACCAAGGCGACGAUCCAUAGCUGGUUUGAGAGAAUGAUCAGCCACACUGGGACUGAGACGCGGCCCAG
rnacentral:rRNA from 1 species